GAACUUGAGGGUGAUCUGGCUGUGAUAUCUGUCACUCCAUUGAUCCCUCAGGUUUAUUUGUCUGAUCUGGCUAGGAAGGUGAGUGUUCCCAUUGUCCCUCACUGCUCUGUAUGCAUCCUUCCUGGAGCUGAGUGCUCUCUCAAGGAGGACUGCCAUCCCCCACAGAAGAGAACCUGUCUUCCACCAACAGUGGAUAAGUAGUUGUGUUCUUCUCAACUUAACAAACUUCUCAAGUAUUCCCUUACCUACAGUGGCUCAGAGGCAAAAACU
ensembl:misc_RNA 7SK 7SK RNA